UACAGAGGUCUCAAGCGUUGUUCGGAUUCAUUGGGCGUAAAGGGUGCGUAGGUGGCGCUGUAAGUCGGGUGUGAAAUUUCGGAGCUCAACUCCGAAACUGCAUUCGAUACUGCGGUGCUUGAGGACUGGAGAGGAGACUGGAAUUCAUGGUGUAGCAGUGAAAUGCGUAGAGAUCAUGAGGAAGACCAGUGGCGAGGGCGGGUCUCUGGACAGUUCCUGACACUGAGGCACGAAGGCCAGGGGAGCAAACGGG
rnacentral:rRNA from 1 species